rnacentral:rRNA from 1 species
UACGUAGGUGGCAAGCGUUGUCCGGAUUUACUGGGCGUAAAGAGCGCGCAGGCGGUCGUUCAAGUCGCGUGUGAAAGCCCCCGGCUCAACUGGGGAGGGUCACGCGAUACUGAUCGACUCGAAGGCAGGAGAGGGUAGUGGAAUUCCCAGUGUAGUGGUGAAAUGGGUAGAUAUCGGGAGGAACACCAGUGGCGAAGGCGACUACCUGGCCUGUUCUUGACGCUGAGGCGCGAAAGCUAGGGGAGCAAACGGG